CCGACCGGCGCACGGGUGAGUAACACGUAUGCAAUCCACCUGUAACAGGGGGGGUAACCCGGAGAAAUCCGGACUAAUACCCCAUAAUAUGGGCUCUCCGCAUGGAGGGUCCAUUAAAGAGAGCAAUUUUGGUUACAGACGAGCAUGCGCUCCAUUAGCCAGUUGGCGGGGUAACGGCCCACCAAAGCGACGAUGGAUAGGGGUUCUGAGAGGAAGGUCCCCCACAUUGGAACUGAGACACGGUCCAA
rnacentral:rRNA from 1 species